rnacentral:rRNA from 1 species
ACGCUCGACACCUACGGGGNGAGCAGUGGGGAAUAUUGCACAAUGGGGGAAACCCUGAUGCAGCGACGCCGCGUGAGCGAAGAAGUAUCUCGGUAUGUAAAGCUCUAUCAGCAGGGAAGAAGAUGACGGUACCUGACUAAGAAGCACCGGCUAAAUACGUGCCAGCAGCCGGGUAAUCUGAGCGGGCUGGCAAGGC